GGUAAAUUAUUCCCCGAGGCUAAUGUUAGUAAAGCUUGUUCAGUUUACGAUCUCAACGUUACCGAGCAUAUCUUCUGAAAAUCUUUUUUGCGAAACACAAUCGACGAUAAACGACAUUCAACUAAAACAUCUGUGGCCUUCACGAGCAUCCAGUUAGCGUCGAUCGUCGUGUCUCAAGAGACCAUCGUGCCUCAGGUCAACAUGAACUGCAGCCUGCAAGAAGAUCAACCACAGAAGACUGCCUUCUUCAGGAGAAAAUGGCGGGCAGUUAAAAGAAUAUUGACUGGGAGUAACAGAGGGAGUUACCGGUUUGACCAUCCUCCAUCCAGUUUCGAGCCUGACCCAUCCUGCCCUAGACUUGUGUCAUUCAGGAAACUGGAUGAUACACAGCCUGGUCCAACGACUAAAUCCCAUCUGGCUGAAAUGGACCCAGCCAAAAAUAAGCCAGUCGUGCACGAGCGAGCCAACCCUCAGCCUCCACCCGUCACAGCAGACACCGGGAUUGCUGGGAAGCCGUUCCGAGCCACGCAGGUCUGGAAUAGCGUCGUCGACAACCUUCAGACGCAGGUGAAGGUGAAGAAGAGACGACACAAUCUGAAAAUCUAUCAGGAUUGUUUUUCGGGCUCGGAAGCUGUGGAUGUGGUUCUGGCUCAUAUCAUUCAGAGCAAGGUCUGCAAAGAUGCAGAGGUGCCUCGAUCCAAAGCCGUUCGACUCUGCCAGCACCUCAAUGAUGCCAAUGUCUUUGAGGAGGUGGACACCAACGUUUUUAGGAAGAAUAAGAGUCAUGCGAAAUUUAAGGACAGCAGCUAUAGUCUGUAUAGGUUUCUCCCGACCACGGGCACAUCAAGCACACCAUGGAUUAGGCACAUCAUCCCCAGAGACCAUCGAGAGAAGUUUUAACUCGCUUCAGAGGAACAGCAAGAGUCCACCCUACCAAAGUCCAUCUCUCCACAGACACCGGGAUUGCUGGGAAGCCGUUCCGAGCCACGCAGGUCUGGAAUAGCGUCGUCGACAACCUUCAGACGCAGGUGGAGGUGAAAAAGAGACAACAAUCUGAAAAUCUAUCAGGAUUGUUUUUCGGGCUCGGAAGCUGUGGACGUGGUUCUGGCACAUAUUAUUCAGAGCAAGGUCUGCAAAGAUGCAGAGGUGCCUCGAUCCAAAGCCGUUCGACUCUGCCAGCACCUCAAUGAUGCCAAUGUCUUUGAGGAGGUGGACACCAACGUUUUUGGAAGAAUAAGAAUCAAGCGAAAUUUAAGGACAGCAGCUAUAGCCAGUAUAGGUUUCACCCGACCACGGGCACAUUAAGCACACCAUGGAUUAGGCACAUCAUCCCCAGAGACCAUCGAGAGAAGUUUUAACUCGCGUCAAAGGAACAACAACCAAAGACACCGGGAUUGAUGGGAAGCUCUUCCGAGCCACGCAGAUCUGGAAUAGCGUAGUCGACAACCUUCUGACGCAGGUUAAGGUGAAGUGAUUAUUGUAAAUGAAAUGAUCACAUACAACAGUUUUGAUAUACUAGGCCUUAUGUUGUGUUCAGACCAAACGCGAAUGGCGUGUUAAGCGCGAGUGAUAUACAAGUCAAUGCAAAGACACGAUAGACCUACUUGCGGCGCGAAUGAGGCCGUGCGAAUGAAGUGAAUUGCGCGAAUGAUGCGAAUCGCACGAUUCGAGUUAAAAAAUUUGAACUUUGGUGAAAAUUUGCGCCGCGUUAACCAAUCAGGUCGGACAAUCUGGCAAGUUGUAAAAAACAAUCUUUACAAUAUCUGAGCAAUAUAUGUAUAUACGAGAAUAGAGCCGCCAAUUUGCGUCUGAAGUGAAGUGAUUUUGACGCGCGAAUAAAGCGAAUUUGACGUGCGAAUGAAGUGAGUAAACUCAAAAUGUUCCAGCGUCUAACUGCGCGCGAAUAGCGUGAUUGAUUUGCGCAAGUCGCGUUUGGUCUGAUCACACAGUUGUUGAAACCUGGCUUAAGCCAAAUGAUUAUUUCGGUCUAAAUGAGUCUACUCCACCAAGCUACGGUUAAAUGCAUGAGCCAGGUCCGGUUGGUCGAGGUGGUGGUGUCGCAACAAUCUUUAGAGACCUUCUUACCGUAAUUCAAUGAACAAAGCAUACAUUUAAAUCAUUUGAAGUGCUUGUGUUGAACAUAAUUGUUCCAAACAAAUGUAAAAAAUCAUUGCUCUCUCUUACAUUGGCUACUAUGUAUAGACUCCCAGGGCCAUACCCUAAUUUUCUGAUAGAGUUCGCAAACUUCUUAUCGGACCUAUUGGUUAACGUCGAUAAAGUAUUGAUUGUCGGAGAUUUUAAUAUCCACGUAGAUAGUGCUAACGAUACAUUAGCAGUGGCGUUUAAAGAGCUACUACACUCUUUUUGUGUAACAAUACAUCAAUAGACCUAUUCAUCGACUUAAUCAUACACUAGAAUUUAUUAUAUCUCACGGAGCCGAUCUAACCAAAAUCGAUAUUAUACCUCAAAGCGACGAUGUUACCGAUCACCAUCCUAUAAUAUGUACACAGUGUACUGCAGAAAUCAGUCGUAUAGCUGGUUAUCGACAGUGUAGAAAUAUCACCUCAACUACUAAAGAUAGUUUCGUAAAGAACUUGCCAGAUCUGACUCCUUUAAUAACCUUGCCAACAAAUACAGAAUUGCUCAAUGACAUGACCAGCAACAUGGGCACUAUUUUCUCACUAUGAAAAGAUCAUAGCACCAUGGUUUAAUAUCACCACUCGCGCCCUAAAAAGAGAAACACGUAAACUGGAGCACAAAAUGUAAACAAACCCAAUUAGAGGUCUUUAAAAUUGCAUGAAAAGAGAGCAAAAACCAACUUCCAAACUUCCAACUGUUACAAAAAGGAACUAAAAGCAGCAAAAGCCGAGCACUUCCGUAACCUCAUAGAAACUAACAAAAACAAUCCAAGGUUUUUAUUUGGUACAAUUGCUAAACUAACAAACAAACCGACUUCACCUGACCUGGCUAUUCCGCCGCACCUUGAUAGCAAUGAACUCAUGAAAUUUUUUACAGAGAAAUUCUAAAUAUGCGAGACAACAAACCUCCAAGUGUGACUGAAGAAUUCGUAAUCAAACAUCACCCCAAAAGAAAAGCUACAGUGUUUUUCUCCUAUAAAACAGGAAGAUUUAAUUAAACUUAUUGCAAACCGACAACAUGCUUAUUAGACCCCAUUCCAACGACAUUAUUAAAAGAGUUACUGUUGCAAUUGAGCCCAUUUACAACACUAUCAACUCGUCAAUUAAUCUAAGCCAUGUCCCAGGACCCUUUAAACUGGCUGUAAUUAAGCCUCUUUAAAAAAAAAAGAUUAUACCCCAAUUAACUUGGAAGCUAUAGACCGAUUUCAAAUCUUCCGUACUUGCCAAAAUACUAGAAAAAGUAGUGUCCACUCAGUUGUGUACUUUCCUUCAAAAUAAUGACAUACACAAAAAGUUUCAGUCUGGCUUUAGACCGCAUCAUAGCACUGAAACUGCGCUAUUUAGAAUUACAAAUGACCUUCUUAUUGCAUCAGAUAAAGGUAACAUUUCACUCUUAGUCCUGCUUGACCUUAGUGCUGCUUUCGAUACUGUAGACUAGAGGUCCGCGGAUGAGCUAAAAUGUCACCCGCAACCGCUGCUUCAAAUAAAUGAUCCACCCGCCACCCGCCCGCACGUAUAAUUUUCUCUGAUAUAAAUAUCCGCACCCGAUCGUCACUUUAAUUACUCUAAUUCUUUGUUUUGAGCAUGAUGUUAUCAGAUUCAGUGAUGUUAGAACUACUCUGCCAAUCUCUGAUGGUACAAUAAUACACUGAUCGUAAAAUGCUUUUAAAGGAACAUUUAUUUAUUAAACAAAAGUUUGUCUUCGGCCAGAUUAGCCUACAUUUUCUUAGUAAAAUAAACACAGGCGUACAUAAUCCCUUCAGACUUUUAAUAUCGCCGAUUCUGUCACUGCCACACAUACACACAUGAAUGACUGGAUAACUGUACAUUUUCUAGCACUGUCUAUGUCUGCAAAUGCUUAAAUCUAAUCCUUCGAUUUAGCACACACAUGAUGUACCAUAUUCAAGGUCUUGUGGCUUUCAUAUACACACACAAUGCCUCACCGUCGUUGCUCACACACAUACUUUUCUUUCUUUCGUCCUUCGUUUUGUUUUGUUUUUAAUUCUUUAGAAUUCUUAUUCUUUUAAUUUGUUUUAACAUCUUUUAAGCCAAGCUUUCACUUAAUGCAUAGUUAACGAACAGCAGCUACGCUAAUUAUUCUCUUUCUGCCCCCUCCUCGGGAUGCCCAUCCCGAGAUAGGGAGAAAUUCCACCAGGUCCAGAGGAUCGACAGAUGCCCAUCCACAACUAGAGAUUACGCCAGCUACAGCUGCAGCUGCUUUGGAUCAAUGCACAUUGUGAAAAGCACUAUAUAAACUAUAAAAACUUGAAUAGACUUGAAGAGGAGACGACACAAUCUGAAAAAAAAACGCUAGUUUUUUGGGCUCUUAAGCUGUAGACGGGGUUCUGGCUCAUAUCGUUCAGAGCAAGGUCUCCAAAGAUCCAGAGGUGCCUCGAUUCAAACCCGUCUGACUCUGCCAGGCCCACAUGGAAGCCAAGAUCUUCGAGGAGUUUCAAUUUAUUCCCUUUAUGAAAGAUGUGCAAAGGAGAUUUUGUGACGACUUCAUCAGAGUUGUACCCAGGGAGCCAGAGAGAAGAUAUAUUCGAUGUGAGGAUGAACCAUGGAGCUUGCUCACUUGAAGAGCAUCAGAUAAGAUGCCGAAUUAAUAACAGUCUGGUCACACUGCAAACUGUCGUAUUAAACAAUACACAGACGUGAGGCCUUAGACCAAAAAGGUCUAAGUGACUGAAGAACCAACCUUUGACACCAGAGAUAUGCAGCCAGAGAAGAGCAAACAGUAUGAGAAUUCUGGAAGCAGUGGACCCACACUGGGAUUGAGAAAAACCGAUCUAUGUGUAGUGGGACAUGAAUUUCACACUUUAAUGUAGAUGCAGCUACAGUUCACUCAUUUACAGUAGUUGCAACCCCAAUUCACUGCCAAAUGAACUCCUGAUAAAUGCAGGUAAUGAGAAUUGCAUUUACAGAAAUUCUAUGUAGUGUCCACUGAACCCAACUUAACUGUCUUUAAUUGUUGAUGAUGUCAUCACAGAAAGUUGCUGUAGUUAAACUGUGUCAUAACAAAUUUAGAGUGACUCCGGUUUCCGUACACAUGAGGAGCGAUUAUUAUUUAUGGCAGUGGUUCUCAAACUUUUCAGAUCAAGAACCACCUUUAAAAAAAUCAGUUGUUCCAAGUUCCACCUAAUGACCGCCAUAGAAAAUCAUAUGAAAAGACAUUCAAAUUAAAAGUAGAGCUGUGAAUCUUUAUAUUUACGCCCCGUCCUCCAAUUCUAACUUAUUAUUAAUAAUACAAAUACUUUUUGAAAAUGAAAUACAGUAUGUGUUUAUCAGCGAUCUGUGUCUAACUGUUUCAGUUUGUUUGCCAGUAUGAAUUGUUGUAAAGCAGGUCUAUACAAAACAUAUAUGUGAGAACAGUUAUUAUAAACGUCAUACCUCAAUGCCAUAUUCUUCCUGACUUGACACAUUUGUACAUCCUAUCCAAAACACUGCGGUAAUCAGAGAAUGACUGGACCAGUCAAUGGCACACAAUCGUUCCUUUUAUUCUUGACUUUCAACCUGAUCGUAUACUCGCAUUGUUCUUAUUAAAAACUCCCAUUUAUUUCUUUAGUACUAUUUGUCUGAACAACUGGUGAAACUUGUAAGUCGCUUUGAAUUGAAACUCUCUCCCUGACUUUAGAUGUUUGACCAAACACCAAUAGAAAUCGUCUUUGUGGAAGGACAUUAAAGCUUUUCAGCCAUCUUUAAAACUUCAAAAUCAGCAAAAAAGCCAGCAGGUCACAUUCCACAUCUCUAUAAGACUGCUUCAAAAUAACAACAUACAUAAACAUGUAAUAAAAUGAAUAUACAAUAAAAUUCUACAAGUUCUUUAUUUAAUACCAGUUUACAAUAAAAUAUUAAUUUAUACAAAAAAAUGUUAAGUGCUCAAAUUUUUGCUGAAAAAAUACAGUGUUUGUAGUUUUAGGCAGGAUAGUUCUACAAAAAGACAAAUCACAAAUGUUAUUACAUCUGACCAAAACUGUCAAUGUUCUUUUAUUUUUCAAAACUCGAAAUCUCACUUUUUGUUUUAGUGAUCUGAAACCCCUAUACAUUAAUAACCUCAAUUUAAAUGUGGUGUUUGUUUGAAUUUUACUAAAUCUCCCUAAAUUCUGUGAUAUACUGUGAUAGGUGUGGGUGGUGGGGUCAGGUAAGAAAAAAUAAUCACUAAAUUGAAAUGUAUUUAAUACAUUAAUAAAUCAAUUAGAAAUUAAUACAAAUCAUUGUUUAUGAUUGAAUUAUUUACAUUUGUAUAUGCAAACUCUCUUUCAACACAUUACCAUAUUUAAAGUACAUCUUUCUUAAAGCUACUUUCUUCCUUUAUUUGUUGUGAACAAAUCCUAUAAGAGAACACAAUUCCUUUAAUAUCAGUGACUGUUUUUGGGCCCGUCCUUUGUUGUUUGAUGAACAUUACUAACAGAGAUCUUUGUUAUGCUGCAAUGCCCGAUCCAACCAAAACCAUACUCUGACUGCAAUAAAAAUCACCUUAAUGCCUUGUUCAUAAAUAUGAAUUAAAUGAAGAAGACAAAAACAUAGAACAACAUAUGCUGUAUGAAAUGUUGGCCAUUGAUUAUUAAUGUGCAUGCAUAUUACUAACAGACAUAAACACAGAUAUAGACAAAAACGUAAAAGUGCAUUUUCUGGUUCUUUUAAGAAUUAUCAUAAAAAUGAUAAUAAUGGUAAAGAAAAUAGCAUGCUGUUUUAGGAAGAGAUUGAUCCUGAGAUCAUGGAAGUAUCGUGGCAUAAGAUUACGAGCAUGUACUGUGAUAACUUGCACACUGUACUUGAAGGGAUACUUCACCCUCAAGAUGUUUUAAAACCUGGAAAAACAAUCAGUUCUGGUGCACUAUUGACUGCCAUAGUAGUUUUUCUAUUACAGAAUUGACCCCUUUGAAUUUCAGUAUCUAACAAGUGUCCUGAAUAUGAAUGUAAAUUAUCAUGAUGCUUUUAUUUAAAAUGUAUACUGAAAAACAUAAUAUAAAAUAUAAUUUUACCACACUGUUAUUAUUGCAUUUAGUUUAAAUCAAACUGUUGCUUUCUAAUCAUACUUGGAGGUGGUUGGCACAUUAGACCCAUUGCAAGAGAGCAAAGAAGAAUUCUUUUUUCAAGUUACAGCGAUUUGACUGGCAGUAUCACUCAAUUACUUUUACUAUUUCCACUAAAGAUUAAAAUAUACAUCACAGCUGGAAACACAUUUUAAAUGGAUUUUGAAUGUGGUGAACUUUUGUUCACAUUACACAUGCCUCGAAAUGGAUUUAUCUUUGAAUAAUGUGCAUUACAGAACCAAAUAUUUAAAAAUGUCUUAAAACUUUAAAGCUUGUCAAAAACCUGUGUGUGAGUUUUCUUAAGAAUAAUGAAAUAACUGCAGAUCUGAGAUUCUGUUCAGAUGAGAUGCUGGGAUUCAGAAUGAUGCGGGAUCUUUGGUGACUACCUGCAGAUCUGCAGCAUUUUUCAUCCAGAUGACUAGUCAGCAAUUUAUAACUGCAAGUGCAGUAACUUCUGCCAAUGUCAAAAUGAUAUCCCAAUUAAGGCAAUGUGAAAACCAGCGCAUACUGUAGAUAACUCCCUAGAUAUAACAUAUGACAGUCUGCACUUACUGUAGAUUCUGUAGUGUAGGAUGUCAUAUAACAUUUAAAGUGUAGCUCAUGUAGAGAGUACAUUUACUUACUGUAUUCUGUAGUGUAGGAUGUCAUAUAACAUUUAAAGUGUAGCUCAUGUAGAGAGUACAUUUACUUACUGUAUUCUGUAGUGUAGGAUGUCAUAUAACAUUUAAAGUGUAGCUCAUGUAGAGAGUACAUUUACUUACUGUAUUCUGUAGUGUAGGAUGUCAUAUAACAUUUAAAGUGUAGCUCAUGUAGAGAGUACAUUUUAAGAUAUAAGAAAGCUACUGUAUGGUUGUAUAAACCAGAAUAAACCAUAACCUUGACAUCUGGUCUUGUGAAUACUGUA